AUCUACUAAUUACUAUUAAGUUUCGACGGAUACGGAUUGGCUCGCGUGACAUUAGCUAGAUGGAGAGGUAACGGCUCCCAUGGCGACGAUGUCUAGGGGUUCUGAGAGGAAGGUCCCCCACACUGGAACUGAGACACGGUCCAGACUCCUACGGGAGGCAGCAGUGAGGAAUAUUGGACAAUGGAUGGAAAUCUGAUCCAGCCAUGCCGCGUGCAGGAAUACGGUCCUAUGGAUUUUAAACUGCUUUUGUAUGGGAGCAAUAAGUGCUACGAGUAGCGCGAUGAGAGUAUCAUACGAAUAAGCAUCGGCUAACUCCGUG
rnacentral:rRNA from 1 species